GGUUCCUGGGUCGCUUGGCUUCCACGCUGUUCAGUGAGGGGUCUGGGGGGAGGACAGAGCCCCUCCAUCAUCCCCAAGACACUAGAGUCCGAUCCCAUCCGAGGGAAGCAUGUUCCUUGGCCCCUCUGCUUGGCUCAGACAGGGCUCUGUGCUCUGUCUCAGUGCCAGGGGUUGGAUGUAGCUGCCGGUUAUAGUCCCAAACCAGUCACUCCUGCCCGCUCAGUGUGGUGCUCUAUCCCCCCUCUAGUGGUUGAGCCUGCUACAGCCAACUGACAGGGGGUCUCUGCUCUGGCUGCAGAGGCUCCUGCUUUUAGAACCACAAGUCCCGGGUUCAAUCCCCACUGAGGAUGAUUCACCCAGGGGCAUGGCAUCACUCUAGCCACUUGCCUUUUCUCACUGCCAUUUCCUACCCUCCUUCCCUGGACAGAGGAGGGGAAAGCAGUCUCAGUUAAGGCAGAGGUGUGGGGGGCAUAGGGGCUCAGGAAGAGGGUGUGGGGAGCAGCAGGCUCGGUGCCGCCACCUAGUGUGUGCAGGAGGUAGGUGGAGAGAGGGGUAGCAGCAGCCUGUGUUCUCGCCAAUGCCAGGGCUGGGCAUAGCAGAAAAGACCCCUAGCAGCGAGGCGGCUGAUGCUACGAUGCAGGGGAUAUGGUGGAAGUGGAGCUGGGCUGCUCUCCCGCCUCACCCCGCUGGGUGGCGCAGGGGAGCUGUACAUAUCUAUAAAUAGCCCUGUAACCAUUCUUCCUGUGUAACUCCAAAUGCCAGGUUUUUAAUGUCUUUGUGACUCUUUGCAUUAAACAAUCUGUUGUGCUUGGACUUGACUUGAGCUAGGUGUGGGGCUCCUCCCUCCUGAGGAGCAGGUCCUCCCUGCAGAUAUCCAGCAGAUCCCGAUCCACCUUCCCCAAUUGGGCCUUUUCUUCUCUUGAGGCCACCCCAGUCUCCCCUUCUUCUAUCAGGCCUUGGGCCCAAGGCUCUGUCGGCCAGCCUAUCUCGGUAGCUGUGCCUGCAAUGGAUGUCUGGCUGUUCAGCCAGCUGGACCAACCUGCUCCUUCCUAGCUUGCAGCUGUGGCUGCUCCACCCUUAGCCCUUCUUAGACACAAGGUUUUUCUCCUUUGCCCAUUACUCUGAGCCGGGCAGAGUUUCCAGUGUACUCAGCUCGCCCGUGGGUCUGUUCAUACAGCCGAUCCCCAUGCAGGCCAGCCAUGACCACAGCCAGGUGCUAGCACAGCGGGUGAGGUGGGGACAAGGGCAGACAUUAGAAGGUUCGGGUCACAAAGGGUGGGGAUGAGUUAUUGAUCCCUCUCUACAUGGCUCUGGUGGGAUGUGCCCUGUCUUGCUGGGUCCAUGGCUGGAUAAAAUGGUAGUUCUGACCAGAACAGCAUGGGUGAUCAGGGGGCUGGAGAGAUUGACAGACGAGGGAGGCAAGGAGCAUCGCUAGGCUAAGUGUCCACUGAAGCUGGGGUGGGGACUACAUGUCCCCAGUGAAGAGGAGGGUGAGGUGGCCAGUGGGCUGGUGUCUUAAAGGUGCUUAGCUAAUGUCAAGGAGCAGAGCCAGCUCUGGAGAGCCUAACGAGCACAGCUGGCCUGCAGUGGGCUGCUUCAUUGGCUACCCUGCCUGAUUGGUGGCAAGAGUCAGCAGACCAGCUCUUAAACCCAGCAGCUGUUUGGUUGCUGCUCAAAGCAUCCGCCCACAGCUGUGAUAGCUUCUGGGUGCACUUGUGCCCAGCCCUGCUCCUGCCUUGGACCCAGCCCUGCUCCUGCUUUGCCUUAUCCAGUUCUGACCCUGGGCUCCUAUUCCUGGCUCCCAACUCCUGUACUAACCACUAGGUGUGACUCUCACUCCAGCCAGUAGGCAUGACCGCCCACAUCUGACAACGAAGAGGAAUAGGGUGAAAGCAAGUGUGGGAAAUCUGCUUUCAUGGGAAACCUAUAAGCCUGUGGAGGGGCCUCCUAAGGGAAGCAGGGGAAGGCUUGUGUGGGCCAUUUGUGGGCAUGAGGCCCUGAGAGUGACUAGACUGCGGGGCACUGUCCCAGCUUGUCAGGACCCGCGGGCUAGCUCCGCUUGUAGUGCUGUGGCUGCCAUUGACGCAAGUUCGCUGUGUGAAACUCGUCUCCUGCUGUCAGUGCUGUGGGGGCUGGCAGGGCUGCCAAUUGCCUGCCUCUGGCUCCUUGGCCUUCCUGUACCAGCCGCAUGACUGAGGCAGGCUAGAGCAAGGAACUAAACGUGGAUUAAAAAGAUGAGGAGGAGGGAGGUCGCGGUGCUAGUGAAUGUGGCUGCUGGUGCUUUGAGGUUGGGGUUAUACCUGAACCAGGCUCUGUCUUCAGAGCCCCUCUGAUGCAGUCCCACUCCCUUUCCUGGAUCUUCCAGCAUAUGGCUGCUGCAGUCACGGACCAGCCCUUUCCUGCUCCCGCUAUCUCUGCUGCGGUUGGGGGCCAUGGAGGAGCCGUUGUUUCUGGCUCAGGCAGCAGCCGGGGAGGUGUCAGCCAGCGCAGGCUUCCAGAAUGUUUUGCUGUUGGCGAAACUGACAGAAUCGAUUUGGCAACCCGGCUCGUGCUGCCAGCAAAAACGGAAAUCUGCUUUGCCCUCGAGCCAGAGCCCUUUUGAUGGGAGGAGGAAUGGAUGUGGAAAGGGGUCUGGGGCACUAGUGCAUCUCGGUUUCUCCUGUUCUGACCCUGUGACGCAGCCUGUGGUCUCUGGCUGGUUGGUGGGGGCUGUGUGCGGAUGCUGGUGGCCUUUGAUGACUGCUCCCUCCUGUUCUGCUCAUAUGCCUCACUCCCACGUGCAGCACCUUGCGCUGAUCCUGCCCGGCCCACUCGUGCUUUGCCAAUGCACCUGAAGUCUGCACCGAGGGCUCAUUCCAGGCCCGCCACAGCACCCUGGUGAGGGGCUACACGCCUGGCCUCCAGCUCUCUGUAAUUCCGGCCACGGCUUCUUUCUCAGCUGAGAGUGCCAGUGGUGCCAAACUCAGGUUUGGGCAAGGGCCCAGCGGGGGACUUUUGUCUCUUGGGAUCUUGCUCCAUGGCCCAAGGCAGGGCUAUGAGCGCAGUGUCUGGCUCUCAGGGCUGGGAUUUGUUUCUCAUUGACACUCUUCCAGCAGCUGGCUCCACUCUGUUAGUUGCCAAGAUCCACGUGUGUCUAACAAGAUCUUUGCACCCCCUUGCUGCCUCUUUCAAACUGCUGGCAGAACAAGGAGCCUGGCACUUCAUAAACUAAACAGAAAGAUCGAUGGUCUUUGCAACUCUCUGGACUGGGUAUUUUCCAGCUCUGUGAUCGCUCAAGUUCUAAUUCAGCCGGGCGAUGGAAGAAAUGGGAGUGGCUGGACAGGGAGCCAUGGGUAGGCUUGCUGGAGAGAAAUUGGCAUUUUGGGGCUGCUGGAAUGGAAUUUCCCUCACUCCCUGCCAAAGCGAUACCCAGAGAU